rnacentral:rRNA from 1 species
UGAGUUUGAUGCAGUUGCUCAGGAUGAACGCUGGCGGCGUGCCUAAUACAUGCAAGUCGAGCKAACUGAUUAGAAGCUUGCUUUCUAUGACGUUAGCGGCGGACGGGUGAGUAACACGUGGGCAACCUGCCUGUAAGACUGGGAUACACUUUCGGGGAAACCCGAAGGCUGAAUACCCGGAUAGGGAUCUUCUCCUUCAUGGGAGGAAUGAUUGAAAAGAUGGUUUCGGCUAUCACUUACAGAUCCGGGCAACCGCGGUGCAUUAGCUAGUUGGUGAGGUAACGGCUCACCAAGGCAACGAUGCAUAGCCGACCUGAGAGGGUGAUCGGCCACACUGGGACUGAGACACGGCCCAGACUCCUACGGGAGGCAGCAGUAGGGAAUCUUCCGCAAUGGACGAAAGUCUGACGGAGCAACGCCGCGUGAGUGAUGAAGGCUUUCGGGUCGUAAAACUCUGUUGUUAGGGAAGAACAAGUACAAGAGUAACUGCUUGUACCUUGACGGUACCUAACCCAGAAAGCCACGGCUAACUACGUGCCAGCAGCCGCGGUAAUACGUAGGUGGCAAUGGCUGUUAUUCGCGGAAUUAUUGAGGCGUAAAGCGCGCGCAGGCGGUUUCUUAAGUUCUUGAUGUGAAAGCCCACGGCUCAACCGUGGAGGGUCAUUGGAAACUGGGGAACUUGAGUGCAGAAGAGAAAAGACGGAAUUUCCACGUGUAGCGGUGAAAUGCGUAGAGAUGUGGAGGGAACACCCAGUGGCGAAGGCGGCUUUUUGGUCUGUAACUGACGCUGAGGCGCGAAAGCGUGGGGAGCAAACAGGAAUUAGAUACCCUGGUAGUCCACGCCGUAAACGAUGAGUGCUAAGUGGUUAAGAGGGUUUCCCGCCCUUUAGUGCUGCAGCUUAACGCAUUAAGCCACUCCCGCCUGGGGGGAGUACGGGUCGGCAAGAACUGAAACCUCAAAGGAAUUUGACCGGGGGGACCGCGCACACAGCAAGCGCUGGGUAGCAGUGUUGAGCUAUGUAAUUGCGAAGUCAACGCGAAGAACCUUACCAGGUCUUGACAUCCUCUGACAACUCUAGAGAUAGAGCGUUCCCCUUCGGGGGACAGAGUGACAGGUGGUGCAUGGUUGAUCGUCAGCUUCGCUGUCAGUGAGAUGUUGGGUUAAGUCCCGCAACGAGCGCAACCCUUGAUCUUAGUUGCCAGCAUUUAGUUGGGCACUCUAAGGUGACUGCCGGUGACAAACCGGAGGAAGGUGGGGAUGACGUCAAAUCAUCAUGCCCCUUAUGACCUGGGCUACACACGUGCUACAAUGGAUGGUACAAAGGGCUGCAAGACCGCGAGGUCAAGCCAAUCCCAUAAAACCAUUCUCAGUUCGGAUUGUAGGCUGCAACUCGCCUACAUGAAGCUGGAAUCGCUAGUAAUCGCGGAUCAGCAUGCCGCGGUGAAUACGUUCCCGGGGCCUUGUACACACCGCCCGUCACACCACGAGAGUUUGUAACCACCCGAAAGUCGGUGGAGUAACCGUAAGGAGCUAGCCGCCUAAGGUGGGACAGAAUUGAAUUGGGGUGAAGUCGUAACAAGGUACCCGAAA